AGUUCUUCAGGGCUGUCUCUGUGAUCCAGGCUUUGAUCUGGGAAAGGUUGCGCCUCAUUGCAGAGUUGAAGCUAUCUGCCUGCUUUGUUUACACGAACGCCCUUCCAGGACUCUGUCUGCUUUUGGGGUGGAAGUGCCCUGCCAAAAACUCCAGCUCUCCAUGCUGGCUGUGUGGCCAGCAUACCUCCUGCCUUUUCAACGAUUCCUCUGCCCUGGAUAGAGAGCGGUGUCUCAUAACAGUUUGGAAACUACAAAAGUUUCCCUGGCAGGAUGAAUGAUUGACUCGGCAACAUGUUCUUGCCUUUUGGAGUUGCCCUCCAAUUUUUCCAGGCUUGAUUCUGUAAAUCAUUUCAUCUUGUAAAAAUACUGGGCUGUGAGCACGGAUGAUCUCAAAGAUGAGGAAACAGAAGCUGGGAUAUGUGAGUAAACAUUUCCAAGGUCCUGCAGCUAAUCAAUGGUGAGCUUGCGAAGAAACCCAUAGCUUUCAAACUUUGAAACUGAUGCUCCUUAGAUUAACCAGGCUACCUCACUUACUAACUAAGUGAAAUCAUCAUGGAGGGCUCCUUGUCCACCUCUUUGCAAUGACCCUAAGGAUCUGAGACAUACCUACCUCUCGACAAAGACAAUAACAUCAUAUCUAGGAGGGGCAGUAGAUUGAUUCUUGAAUUAGGCUGCUUGAGCUAGUACUCUCGCUCUGCUGUUCACAUGCUAUGUGGCUUGGGGGCAAAUUACUGAAACUCUUUGUACUUCAGUUCCCUAAUCUGUGAAAAGAAAAAAAAAGUGUGGAUAAUACAUAUACCCAACUCAUAGGUUUUGUGAGAAUUAAAUGAAAUGGCAAGUGGUUUGCCUAAGGCCUGGAAAAAAUAAUUAUUCAAUAUAUCUAUACAUUUUCUCAUUUUAUUUGGAGCUUGCAUUAUGUUUAGUUAUUAAUUUCUUUAGCAGAAAGCCACCUAGAAAAAAGCAUGCAGGUUUCUUACGAGAGGAAAAAAUAAACGCUUGUGAGCACAAUUAGAUAUACGAAGGAAGACGUGGGUAACCCGGUCUGGGAGAGCAUUGGUAAGGUGGCUGAUCAUGCUUUCUUGUUUUUGUUUUUUCUCAAACAAAUUAGAGAUUCCAAAUUAAGGAGCAAGACUAGAACAAAGGUGAAAAUUGUGAAAAAUUUCUGUGAAGCCCAAUGCUCUAUAGUAACCAGUUAGCAAAAAGCUAUUCAGGAGAAAGGAACUAGACUAACGCAAUGUCUUUUUGCUAUAGCUAAUUCAAUCACUGUCAUUACCACCAGCAUAUUUUCAGAAAAGAGAAUAUUUAAAAGACUCAAUUCUGUUAAAAGUUGGGUACCAUAUAGUCUCAAAAGUGAGCUAUGAAAUCCUGUCCCAAGCCAGAAAAAACAAGUUCACCAUCUUGCGAGAGUAUUCUAAAAAAAAACUUUUUAAAACCUGUUUCUUACUAAUUAUUUGAUUUACGUCGAACAUUUUGAAUUUUCCAUUAUGUGAAGGGUCUAAAGUCUUUUGCCAAGGGCAAUGAAAA
rnacentral:lncRNA from 1 species